rnacentral:misc_RNA from 1 species
GACAAUGUUUUUUUGGAAUUCUGUAAAUUAUUUGGUCUAAGUUAAAUUAGCAACAGUGCUAAGAUUAUGGCCAUCAAGAUUUAGAACAUAUGAAUAAAUAUGCAUUACAUACUUCUUGUGGGGCGCCUUUUUGUCUUGCUUUUUAACAUCAUUACAUUGAAUUGUUUGUCUCAUUAUCAUGGUUUUUGUGGGAAUAUUUUGAUUUAGGCA